rnacentral:rRNA from 1 species
AGUCGAGCGGACAGAUGGGAGCUUGCUCCCUGAUGUUAGCGGCGGACGGGUGAGUAACACGUGGGUAACCUGCCUGUAAGACUGGGAUAACUCCGGGAAACCGGGGCUAAUACCGGAUGCUUGUUUGAACCGCAUGGUUCAAACAUAAAAGGUGGCUUCGGCUACCACUUACAGAUGGACCCGCGGCGCAUUAGCUAGUUGGUGAGGUAAUGGCUCACCAAGGCAACGAUGCGUAGCCGACCUGAGAGGGUGAUCGGCCACACUGGGACUGAGACACGGCCCAGACUCCUACGGGAGGCAGCAGUAGGGAAUCUUCCGCAAUGGACGAAAGUCUGACGGAGCAACGCCGCGUGAGUGAUGAAGGUUUUCGGAUCGUAAAGCUCUGUUGUUAGGGAAGAACAAGUACCGUUCGAAUAGGGCGGUACCUUGACGGUACCUAACCAGAAAGCCACGGCUAACUACGUGCCAGCAGCCGCGGUAAUACGUAGGUGGCAAGCGUUGUCCGGAAUUAUUGGGCGUAAAGGGCUCGCAGGCGGUUUCUUAAGUCUGAUGUGAAAGCCCCCGGCUCAACCGGGGAGGGUCAUUGGAAACUGGGGAACUUGAGUGCAGAAGAGAGAGAGUGGAAUUCCACGUGUAGCGGUGAAAUGCGUAGAGAUGUGGAGGAACACCAGGUGGUCGAAAGGCGACUCUCUGGUCUGUAACUGACGCUGAGAGCGAAAGCGUGGGGAGCGAACACGAUUAGAUACCCUG